GAUGAACGCUGGCGGCGUGCCUAAUACAUGCAAGUCGAGCGAACAGACGAGGAGCUUGCUCCUCUGACGUUAGCGGCGGACGGGUGAGUAACACGUGGAUAACCUACCUAUAAGACUGGGAUAACUUCGGGAAACCGGAGCUAAUACCGGAUAAUAUAUUGAACCGCAUGGUUCAAUAGUGAAAGACGGUUUUGCUGUCACUUAUAGAUGGAUCCGCGCCGCAUUAGCUAGUUGGUAAGGUAACGGCUUACCAAGGCAACGAUGCGUAGCCGACCUGAGAGGGUGAUCGGCCACACUGGAACUGAGACACGGUCCAGACUCCUACGGGAGGCAGCAGUAGGGAAUCUUCCGAAAUGGGCGAAAGCUUGACGGAGCAACGCCGCGUGAGUGAUGAAGGUCUUCGGAUCGUAAAACUCUGUUAUUAGGGAAGAACAAAUGUGUAAGUAACUAUGCACGUCUUGACGGUACCUAAUCAGAAAGCCACGGCUAACUACGU
rnacentral:rRNA from 1 species